rnacentral:rRNA from 1 species
GACGAACGCUGGCGGCGUGCUUAACACAUGCAAGUCGAACGAAGUGGCGAACGGGUGAGUAACGCGUAAUCAACCUGCCCUUCAGAGGGGGACAACAGUGGGAAACGACUGCUAAUACCGCAUACUGAAGGAGGGGAUUGCGUGGGAUUAGCUAGUUGGGGGGGUAACGGCCCCCCAAGGCGAUCUUCAGUAGCCGGUCUGGGGGGGUGAACGGCCACAUUGGGACUGGAGCACGGCCCAGACUCCUACGGGAGGCAGCAGUUGGGAAUCUUCCGCAAUGGAGGAAAGUCUGACGGAGCAACGCCGGGUUGGGGGUGACGGCUUUCGGGUUGUAAAGCUCUGUUAAGCGGGACGCGGUACCGGAAUAGAAAGCCACGGCUAACUACGUGCCAGCAGCCGCGGUAAUUC